UGGGUUUGGUGAUGGGUGAAAAAUUAGUGGUGGUAUGACUUUUAAUUUUGAUAAUGGCAAUGAAGCUCGUGAUUUUGAUGUGGAUGGUGAAUUUAUGGUUAUGAUUGUGAUGAAUUUCAAUGAUAGUGGUAUGGUUCCGAUAGUGAAUUUAGUUAAAUUUAUGAUGUUUGUUUUCGAUUUUUUAUGAUGGCAAUGGUUGUGGGAAG
rnacentral:lncRNA from 1 species